GACGAACGCGGCGGCGUGCCUAAUACAUGCAAGUCGAACGAGAGCGACCGGUGCUUGCACUGGUCAAUCUAGUGGCGAACGGGUGAGUAACACGUGGGUAACCUGCCCAUCAGAGGGGGAUAACAUCCGGAAACGGAUGCUAAAACCGCAUAGGUCUUCGAGCCGCAUGGCUUGAAGAGGAAAAGAGGCGCAAGCUUCUGCUGAUGGAUGGACCCGCGGUGCAUUAGCUAGUUGGUGAGGUAACGGCUCACCAAGGCCGUGAUGCAUAGCCGACCUGAGAGGGUGAUCGGCCACAUUGGGACUGAGACACGGCCCAAACUCCUACGGGAGGCAGCAGUAGGGAAUCUUCCGCAAUGGACGCAAGUCUGACGGAGCAACGCCGCGUGAGUGAAGAAGGUUUUCGGAUCGUAAAACUCUGUUGUUAGAGAAGAACAAGUGCUAGAGUAAACUGUUAGCGCC
rnacentral:rRNA from 1 species